ACAUUUUCCUUCAACCCUACAGUCCUCUGAUUGGGAUCAGGCAUGCAAGGCAUGUGCAAUCAUGUGAUGUCCCUGGAGGUGAAUUUGAGCUGUAUGACCACCGUAAAGGCCUUGAAUCUUCCUUGUUGAACCAUGUUUUGUUGCUGGAAACUCCCAUAAGCUAAAAUUUUCUUGUAAUGAAGCUGGGACUUUGGAGGUUUACGAAAUAUAAGAUAAUUCAAACAUUCAUCCAGCUAAUAGUUGAUACCAGAUGGUGCUAUUUCUAGAGACACUGCUUGGCCUAUAAUAGUGUUCUUUACCAUAAGCUCGUGUAGUAGUUCAUCUAUUACCACCAACCUCCCCAGGAGGAUUUGUGGUUUAGAUGUUUAUUCAAUCAUUAAUCAAUGGAACUUUUUUUUAUGGCCUGUCUGUUCUUUUCUACUCUGGUAUAGGCUAGUUAUAUUUUGUCUGUCCCAUCUCCCAACACAAUAGUUUCAUUGUUCCAUGGGCAGAAAAAUGGCCUGUUCCUACUGAGAGCUUGAGGCCCGGAAGAACCAAUCAAAGCAGUUGAAGAAAAUAUACAUGGAUAUGGCACUGCAGAAGGAAUUACAGAAAAAGGGACAAAAGCGCAAACUGCGUGAAGAUGAGAUUGAUUGUCCACCUAGAAAACCAGUAUUCAAGUGGCGUCCAGAACGAAAGCGGUGAAAGGUGUGGUCUUGAGCUGUUGGCCGCUUUAUCAAUCUGUUCAUGCACCUCUAUUAAGCUCGUGCAUUUGAAUAAUAUUUUCAGGAAUGAUGCCGUGAAAGAAGUGAAAUUCCUUCAGUUGGAUUGCCAACCAAGCGUGGCAAUGUGGCAGGAUAAGCUCCAUGUCAGCUGGAAGAACUGACUGUCCAAUUAAGAGGAUGUUGAUCUCAGCUGCCGGUGCACCUAGGAGUUUUGAUCAUCAUUUUUCAAUCUGUCAUCCGUGUCACUCCUUUACAUCCUUAAUCCUGUAGUUUUUAACGAAAUAAGAAGCAAGCAAAACAUGCAAUCAGCUCUUAAUUAAGGGCAGCAUUUUGAACUUUUAA